ACUCCACAUAUUAUUAUUAUUACAUAGACCAACUUCUUCCCCCGCCAUUUGGACUUUUUUUUUUUUCCCCACUUUCUCUCUCUAACACCUGUCCUCGCAAUCUGAAAACAUAACCGAUGAGCUCGUCGCCGUCAAGGAAUCCGACGACCGCCGAAGCACCUCCACCGCCAUCAACAUCGACGGAUGCGGUGGCUGCGGAAGGUGGUUCGUCUAAGAAAGUGAGGAAACCUUAUACCAUCACCAAGUCUAGGGAGAGCUGGACUGAGGAAGAGCAUGAUAAGUUUCUUGAAGCACUUCAAUUGUUUGAUCGUGAUUGGAAGAAGAUAGAAGAUUUUGUGGGUUCCAAAACUGUAAUUCAGAUAAGGAGUCAUGCCCAAAAAUACUUUUUAAAGGUUCAGAAAAACGGGACAUUAGCACAUGUGCCACCACCUCGGCCUAAGCGCAAAGCAGCUCACCCGUAUCCUCAAAAGGCAUCAAAGAACGCUCAAAUGGCACUUCAAGUUUCCACGUCUUUUACUACGCGAAAUAGCGACAUGCCGGGAUAUACUUUGUGGGAUGAUACUUCAAUGCUGCUAAACAGAGUUAUUUCACCACAGCCAGAACUUGCUAAUCUUUAUGGAACAGAAGCUAAUAUUGGAUCGAAGGGCAUAUUAAAUGUUAGUAGCCCUUCUACAUCUGCUAUGGGAAGUUCAAGCCGAAGAACAGUAUCAGGUUCUGAGAUUGUAAGAAAGUCGAAACAGCCUCCCGUUCUUCACGCUGUUCCUGAUUUUGCUGAAGUUUAUAACUUCAUUGGGAGUGUCUUUGAUCCUGAAACGAUUGGUCACGUGGAAAAGCUCAAGGAAAUGGAUCCUAUUAAUUUCGAAACUGUUCUGUUAUUGAUGAGAAACCUCACAGUUAACUUAUCAAACCCUGAUUUCGAAUCCGCUUCCGACUGUAAUAAUACUGCAGAGGACAGUCCUCUCAUCAUAUGAACUGAACACCGAGCUCCCAAGCGUUGGUACCACUGGUUCCCUUGUCAAGAACUCAACAAGCGAUAAAUCAUCGUAACAAAAAUAUUAGCCAUCAGCUAUAGCAAGUUUACUCAUCGGUUUUCCAUGUUUAAUAAACAUUGGUGUUAUACGUCACUGGGAAUCACAAUCUUGUCAAUGCAUCAUCAUGUGGGGAAUUGUGUUUAAAGUGUUUGUUGUUCUGAGGAGAAACAUAAACGAAGUUUUAAGCUAUAUAUAUAGGGGCUUGCGCAGAUUUUGACAAGGACCUGUGUAAGGUGUUUUCUACUAGAUGCGGUUCACGGGUUUGCAAAGGCAGCAUCAGCCGCAGGUACUCUUGUACAAAAAGUCUCUUUUUGUUUGUGUUGUGUAUUUAUUAUAUGUUUCAGCUGUUGAAUUUUUGCCAUUUGGUGGAUUAUAUUUUCACUAAGUGGGUGUCAAGGAUAAGUCUUAGGACUGACUGUAAUGGUUCAAGAUCAGUGAUAAGUACAUAGCGGUAACUCUGUUUGUUUUAAACUACAGCUUUCUCUAUUAGUUGUUUCAUUCA